rnacentral:lncRNA from 1 species
GAGAGAAUAGAAAACAAGCAUUUUUAUCUAGUCACCUUUCCAAACCCAGGUAUACCUGCUUCGGGAAGGCACCAUCAAGCUUUAGAGACUGUCAUCCUUUUUCUCCUUCUCUGUUGCCCAGUCACCAGUUGGAGUGUCAGCAACCACUUGUUCAGAAAAAGCUGCCUUUCCUUCACAUAUCCAGAAAGCCCAUGUGCAGACAUCACUGAGCAGUGUAUAUUCAGGAUCCCAUUGAAGCAUUUUUGGGAGAUAUGACUCAGAUUAGAAGCCAAGAAUUGGAAAUUUCAGUGACAGGGAACAUAAAUCGUAUUUCUGCGUUCAGGAUAGUGUUUUCUUGCUACAGGGAUUUCUUCUUCAAGUAAUCAAAAGACAACUGUACCUUCAAACCUUUCAGAAAAAUAUGUCCUAAUUUAGUUCUUUUCAUUCUACAGACUCCAUCAGGAAUUGUUUGGGACCAUGCAUUCUGUUGCCCACUGCCAACCGAAAGCCACCAAGGUAGCAGUGCACACUGACGUCUCAAGAAGUUAGCACGAUUUUCACUCCUGUGCUCCAUUUUGGAGUCUUAGCUUUCUGUAGGAAAGAGUCUCACUCUGUCACCCAGGCUGGAGUGCUAUGACGCAAUCAUGGAUCACGGCAACCUCCGCCUCCUGGGUUCCAGCGAUUCUUGUGCCUCAGCCUCUCGAGUAACUGGGAUUAUAGUACUCCUGUGAACCAUGUCUGAGUGGAGUAAUGAUGGCACCACAGUUCAGCCUGCAUGGGUGUUGGCCUGAGUGCUCCCCCCUCAUGAAAUUCAGCCACCUCUUUCUCCAGUCAGUUCUAUCUUCUCAACUCCGACUGUCUUCCAGAUUACUCCAUCAUUACUGUACCACCGCCUAUAUGGAUGUAGUUGUCAGUGUGAAGCUGAGUAAGGAACAACGUGCACCAGACUCACAGAGAAAAAUGGACAAGCGAGCUGGCCUUUGUAUCACUAAAGGGAAGGUCAGAUUGGUGAAUAUGUAAUGUCUGUAGUAGUCUUGUUGGGGACAUCCACAACAUGUCAAUGAAUCAAAGACUUAAGUAGGAUCUCAAAAUAAUAAUAUCUCUAUCUAAACUCUUAUACACAUAAUAGACUUAUUUACACUUACUGAAAAAGUUCGUCUAGAGUUUUAAAUUUACGUUUUAUUCAUAUACAAUGAAAGCAAUAUUGAAAUUAAUUCCUAAAUUAACUCACACAUAUCUUGAUAUUCUGAUUAUGAUUGUUCUGAAUUAGGUUUUGACACUUUUUCAAAGUGAUUAUUGAUACAGUUGGAUGAAUAUUCACCAUGUUUGUUACUGUCUUCUCGUUUUGCGCUGCCCCUGUUUCCAAUUUUGUCUUCUAUUCAUUUUCCUUUUUUUGGUUUUUAUACAGCAUUUCAUAUAAUUCAAUAUUCUUUCUUAACAUCUCAGACUUUUUAAAUACUUUUUAUUAGUUACUCAAGAAAAGCUUAUAAUUUUCAUAUUCUUAGUUGAUCUUACAUAUAACAGCAUAUUUAAAAUAAUUAUAUUCAAUAGCAGACAGGUGCCUUUCAAAAAAAUAGUAGCAAGGCUGGGUCGGUGGUUCAGGCUUGCCAUCACAGCAGUUUGGGAGGCCCAGGUGGGUGGAUUACCUGAGGUGGGGAGUUCGAGACCAGCCUUGCCAACAUGGUGAAACCCCAUCACUACUAAAAAAAAAAUACAAAAUGUAGCUGGACAUUGUGACACACAUCUGUAAUCCCAGCUGCUCAGGAGGCUGAGGCAGGAAAAUCGCUUGAAUGCGGGAGGCAGAGGUUGCAGUGAGCUUAGAAUGCACCACUACACCCCAGCCUGGGUGAUAGAGCAAGACUCUGUUUCAAAAAAAAAAAAAAAA